GAGGGUAUAGCUCAGUGAUAGAGCGCAUGCUUAGCAUGCAUGAGGUCCUGGGUUCAAUUCCUAGCACCUCCA
rnacentral:tRNA from 1 species